AUCGAACGCUUCUUUUGGCAAUAUCAAUUUCCAAGUUCUAAUUCAGAGGAUUGUAUUGAACUGUCAUAUCAGGAUGGAUCGUUUUCAUGGAGUCCUAGAUCAAACCAAACAGGCAAUGGCUUGCUCUGUCAGUAUGAUCGGUCUUGCCAGAGUGUUGAACUUAACCAAUCCGACAUGGUUCUUGAAUACAUGGGCACCUGUUUCCAAUUCCUGGAUGUUUCGAAGAACUGUAAUGACGGAGCCGAAGAGUGUAACGGGAGAAGAGGAUUUCUGGCUGAAAUACUCGAUGAGAGCACUAAUGCUUUAUUGCUGGACCGAGCCCUGUAUCUGAGAAGCAGAGGUGUAAACACGGCCUGGUGGAUCGGUGGUUAUGACGAAGACGUAGGACGGUCCUGGUAUUGGUCUGAUAAAACUCGAAUGAACUAUGAGAAAUGGUACGAUAACGAACCUAGUACGAAUAUCGAAGACUGUGUAGAAAUGAGAAGGGGC